CUGUCACUCCCCCUGGAGCAUGCGUCGCCUCCCUCCUGGAGGGUCCAUCACCUCCCCCUGGUCUGUGGCCUCCCCCUGGAGGGCCUGUCGUCUCUCCCCUGGAAGACCUGCCAAUUCCUCGGCCUCCCUUUAUUUGACCUUUGGCAUUGCCUGGAAUGGACAGGGUCUGCAGCUUCCCUCUGCCUGGGCUGGGGGAGUGAGCCCGCCUGCUGUGAGAGUGAGAAUUCACCCUCAGCGCCGGCUCUGUCAUCCUGUCCCAGCGGGUCCCAGAAGAGGAUGAAUUAGCUGCAGCACAAGACUAAAGCUGAUGGCACCAGGGCACCACAUAAACCGGAAACCCAAGAUACUGAGACUGUGUUUAGGGCAGCCAUAGAGAGUCCUGGGGGCCUAAAAUCAAGUCUGCUUAUCAGCUUGCCUGAAGAGCAAUUGUCUUUUGAAACAAAAAGAGCAAGAACAACUAGACCAGCACACUGAUCUAUGCACCGCUUAGCGGCCUCUGCAAAUCAGUGCUCUGUACAGAAAACAUGUCAGAAGCCUUGGAACAGAUAGGCUGGUUCUAAGGGAAGGCUGCUCAGCUACUUGGUCUGUACAGGAGAGAAGCAGGGGCCUUGGUAUAAAAGUACUUACAGAUGAAGUAACAAGGUCAAAUUAGUGACCCAGAGAAAAGUGGCUACGGAGAAAUUUGUGCUCUUUCAAGAAGAAAAACUCCUAGAAGCCAGCACCAUCUGUUUGUGGGUCUGCACAAGACUGCUUCAGCUGCAGGUAAAUGCCGAGGACCUUACAGCCAACUUGGCUGGAGAAGAAAAUAGAGAAUUGGAAUUACACCAAGGUUUGGUGGGACGGAUCAAGAAGCAAACACUAAGAGGAAUACCCAGAGCAUACCGGAAUUCUGAAUCAUGGGAACAAUAUCAUGGAUGAAAACAAGAGCCCAGAGUCCUAAUUCCCAUUACCCAUGGAGUGCCCACUGUGUGUCAUUUCACCAUGCUAACCCUGCUGGUGUUCAUUUUUCCUCCCUUCACUGCUUCCAGUAUCAAAGAGGCGCCCUUCAGGAUGGCUCGAGUCACACAAAGCCCCAACCGCUACAAGUUGUCUAAAUAAAGGCAAGGUGUUUGCUUGACCAAUGCAACUUCAAGACAAAUCUCCUAUUUGGUGACUGGACUAUCACCCCAAAGUCCUAUCUAUGUAAAGUUUUGAGUUGCUACUCUUCCACAGGUAACAGUGAAGGGUCACUCAUGUGAGGCACUGAGCAGGUGGAAAACAAGCUCAUCCCUAGAUGUGUAGGAGACAGUGAUGCACAAAUAACAGGAAACCUUGGAGUGGAACAAGUACUAUCAUAGAGGUACCAAUCAAAGCAACAAUAAGAGUGAUUAAAGAACAGUAAAUUCUGCAGAGAAUCCUUUGAAAGGCUUCACAGAUAACAGCAGGUAUGUGGUGAAGCAAAGAAAUCAUGGGGCAGAGUGAAAAUAGCCAAGCCUAAAAAGACAAAAUGGGGUCAGUUGAAUUGGACAUUCGGAGACUAAACAUACAUUAUCACCCUUUAUGAUACCUGUGAGCCAAAUGAGACUUUUAAAUGAAGAAAGGAUGUGAAAACACUUUAAAACUUACAAUACAGUACAGGAAUAUAAGACCUAGUGUUGAGGAACUGUAUUUGAGGAAGAAAAUACUGAACAUUUCAUACUGUUGGUACACAGUCUCUGUUACUUAGGAUAUAUAAUAUCACUUAUAUAUGCAUAUAUGAUGAUCAGCAUGUAAAUAAAAGAACUAUCUUAACAAACUGUCAUAACAAUGAUAUAACCUGGUCCACUGAAAUGUUUUUUGGAAAGAUAAUUACAUUAAAAGCAUAAAAAUGAAGCUACAAAAA